CGGGCUGGCCGGCGCCGGCUGGGUGUCGCGGGUUCGAGCCCCGCCACCGGCGAAAGGGGGGGCAGGUGGCCGGCCCGCCUGGGGCUGGGGGCUCCGCGGGGGCGGCAGCAGCGGCGCUCCGCCAGGCCAGAACUGCUCACAGAGUUUAGAUGCUGCCGUGUCUGAGAACCCAGCUUCAGAAAUGCUGCAGAAUGGCUCUCCUGAGGCUGAGCUGUGCUAGAGGGAGGGAGGAGAUGUGCUGCUGAAGUGCUGGUGCCAGUGCCGAUCGUCAUUCCCCUGGGAAGACACGCAGCAAGGAGCACGUUUCAAAGAGGCCAUUGCUUCAAAGGAGAAGACAAGGAUUUCCCUCGCUGCUGGGUGUUAGGAACAGGCUUGCAAAUCUUGCACUGCUUCUCCUUCUGUUCUGUGUUUUUCACCCUAUCAGCCACCUCUUGUGGAAAGGGACAAGGCUUCUCAUCUUUCCAGCAUUUUUUUUUUUGUCUGAGCAUGUUCUCUUAUCAUCGCAUCGCGCAGCUCGCAUUACUGAUGACUUUGUGAAUGCACCAGCCCUACCAGAUGCUAAUGGUUAUGGUUGCUACCAGCUCAGGUUGGUUCUAAACUGUGAACAGGUAAGAGAUGGAAGGCUUUUUAUUUCUUUGCCGACGUGCCAAUAUCCUAGUUGUACAGUUGUUUUAAUAGUAAUAAUUUCAAAGAUUACAAAGCUGGCACUUCCCCUCCGCCCACUGGUGUAGUCACAGCAGAAUGAAUGGUUCAUUGUUGUAAGAGUCAUUUUGCUGCACAAGGCAACCUCUAUUCACAAUUAGAAGGUUAGAAAUGUUCAGCCAGUUGUGACAAUUAAAUAAAAUUAUUGUCUGAGCAUCGCUUGGGGUUAUA
rnacentral:lncRNA from 1 species